rnacentral:misc_RNA from 1 species
GAUGAAGAACGUAGCGAAAUGCGAUAAGUAAUGUGAAUUGCAGAAUUCAGUGAAUCAUCGAAUCUUUGAACGCACAUUGCGCCCGCCAGUAUUCUGGCGGGCAUGCCUGUUCGAGCGUCAUUUCAACCCUCAAGCACAGCUUGGUGUUGGGACUCGCGUUAAUUCGCGUUCCCCAAAUUGAUUGGCGGUCACGUCGAGCUUCCAUAGCGUAGUAGUAAAACCCUCGUUACUGGUGAUCGUCGCGGCCACGCCGUUAAACCCCAACUUCUGAAUGUUGACCUCGGAUCAGGUAGGAAUACCCGCUGAACUUAAGCAUAUCAAUAAGCGGAGGA